UUUGAGGGUGCUAUUAUUCUUUUGUUCCUUUCUUUAUUUUUUCUUUCUUUUUAUUUUGAUUUUGAUUUUGAUUUUGAUUUUGAUAUUGAUUUUUCACCCUCCUUUCUUUUUUUUUGUUUUUUUUUUUACAUUUGUAAUGCCCCAGUUGGACUGUUUUGCUGAUUCUCGAGAUGCAGCUGAGUGAUCUUCUUUUCUUGCUCAAGAAGUCAGGAAAUCUCGUCAGGAAUCCUUUCAACAUCAUCUUCCUCUGCUUCGAAUACAGGGAAUUCAA
rnacentral:lncRNA from 1 species